CGAUCUCAAUCAAUUCCUAGACGGUAUCCCUGGUUUCCACGGUAACUCUCUAAACUCCUCUGAGGAUCCUCCCUCCAUACUUAGUAGGCGGCAAGCCCGUCGUCAUUUCCAGGUGAUCGCUCCUUCUGUGGCGAUAGCUCAUCUGGAAGUGCCAAACGAUGCCUCUGCCUCUUCACCUCCUGAUGGCUAUACUGCCCUCUAUUCGGGUUUUGAGGACCUAGGGCUUCGGCUUCCUGCUUCCCCUUUUCUCUUAUCUUUUCUUUCGUAUACUGGUGUUGCUAUUUCCCAACUUUCUCCUUCUAGUUUAGACCGCGUCCUUUCGUUCGAACAUUUGUGUCACGAACUAGAUCUGAAGCCCUUCGAGCGUGUUUUCCGUCUGUUUUUUUCAAUCUCUC
rnacentral:lncRNA from 1 species